AACGCGAAGAACCUUACCUGGGUUUGACAUCCCUUGAUGGUCGUAGAGAUACGAAAUCUGUAGCAAUACAGCAAGGAGACAGGUGCUGCAUGGCUGUCGUCAGCUCGUGUGGUGACAUGUUGGGUUAAGUCCCGCAACGAGCGCAACCCUUGUCCUUAGUUGCCAGCAUUCAGUUGGGCACUCUAAGGAGACUGCCGUGGUUAACACGGAGGAAGGUGGGGAUGACGUCAAGUCCUCAUGGCCUUUAUAUCCAGGGCGACACACGUGAUACAAUGGACGGUACAGAGGGACGCCAAGAGGCAACUCGGAGCUAAUCUCAAAAAGCCGUUCUCAGUUCGGAUUGGAGUCUGCAACUCGACUCCAUGAAGUUGGAAUCGCUAGUAAUCGCGGAUCAGCACGCCGCGGUGAAUACGUUCCCGGGCCUUGUACACACCGUAGUAC
rnacentral:rRNA from 1 species